UUGAACGCUGGCGGCAGGCCUAACACAUGCAAGUCGAGCGCGAAAGGUUUUCGGACUGAGUAAAGCGGCGGACGGGUGAGUAACGCGUGGGAAUCUGCCCAGUAGUGGGGGACAACAGCCGGAAACGGCUGCUAAUACCGCAUACGCCCUACGGGGGAAAGGGGGGGAUCUUCGGACCUCUCGCUAUUGGAUGAGCCCGCGUCGGAUUAGCUAGUUGGUAGGGUAAAGGCCUACCAAGGCUACGAUCCGUAACUGGUCUGAGAGGAUGAUCAGUCACACUGGAACUAGGACACGGUCCAGACUCCUACGGGAGGCAGCAGUGGGGAAUAUUGGACAAUGGGGGCAACCCUGAUCCAGCCAUGCCGCGUGUGUGAAGAAGGCCUUAGGGUUGUAAAGCACUUUCAGUGGGGAGAAAGGUUUGUCACCUAAUACGUGAUGAAAUUGAUGUUACCCACAGAAGAAGCACCGGCUAACUCCGUGCCAGCCGCCGCAGUAC
rnacentral:rRNA from 1 species